GGGGAUGUAGCUCAGAUGGAAGAGCACUCUCUUAGCAUGCGAGAGGUACGGGGAUAGAUACCCCGUAUCUCCA
rnacentral:tRNA from 1 species